AGAUUGAACGCUGGCGGCAUGCCUAACACAUGCAAGUCGAACGGGAGUAGCAAUACUCUAGUGGCGGACGGGUGAGGAAUACGUAGGAAUUUGCCCUUAAGUGGGGGAUAACCCGGGGAAACCCGGAUUAAUACCGCAUGACCUCGAAAGAGCAAAGUGGGGGAUCGCAAGACCUCACGCUUUUGGAGAAGCCUACGUCGGAUUAGCUAGUUGGUGAGGUAAUGGCUCACCAAGGCGACGAUCCGUAACUGGUCUGAGAGGAUGAUCAGUCACACCGGAACUGAGACACGGUCCGGACUCCUACGGGAGGCAGCAGUGGGAAUAGUUGGACAAGUGGCGCAAGCCUGAUCCAGCAAUGCGCGUGUGUAGAAGAAGGUCCUUGGUUAGUAAGCUAACGUUUAAGGUUA
rnacentral:rRNA from 1 species